rnacentral:lncRNA from 1 species
CAAGUCAGAGUAAAAUUCUAGAAUCAUCAAAUCUGAAAAGCUUUGUUGGAAUUCAGGGUUUGAUUCUUUAGCAUCAUCAUUCUCUCUUUGAUCUGCUUUUACUAAAUUAUUUUCGAAUUUGUCAUUUACUUUUUAAAUUUUGUUUCUAUUAUGUGAAAUAGCUAUGAAAAUUGUUUAAUUAGCAUACACCUACUUUAAAAGUACUAAAAUUUAUGCUUAGAUAAUGUUAUGCAAUUUCAUAGUUUGUUGUCCAAUUUGAGAAAUGAAUUUUGAUUCACACUUGCACUACAUAAGGUGCAUGCAUUAUGAAAUAUUUAGGUAAUUCAGUAGUUCAAUCAUUGAAGAUGAUUUCAAGCAUAAUGUUAGCGUAAUUAAUUAGUUGUGCCUCUCUGAUUACUUGUAGCUCAAUUUAAUACUACCCAAUUUAAGGUUUCCAGUAAGAAACUUGAAUUGAACUUUAAACUCUGCUUCUUUUGGUGAUCAUUGAAGAUGAUUUCAAGCAUAAUGUUAGCGUAAUUAAUUAGUUGUGCCUCUCUGAUUACUUGUAGCUCAAUUUAAUACUACCCAAUUUAAGGUUUCCAGUAAAAAACUUGAAUUGAACUUUAAAUUCUGCUUCUUUUGGUAUUUCUGUCAUUGAACUCAAUUUCAGGUUCAUCUUUUCAUCUGAUUUAGUUUUGAGGAGUCAGUUGGUUGAAUUUGUUAAAGAUACAUCAUUUUGCCAUAACGUAGUUAACUAAUCAUGCUUCCUAUAAUUCUUGAUUUUGAUAAGUUGAUUAACUAUUUUCUCGGUAAACUUUAACUACAUACAAUUACCUCACUUUGCUCAAGCUAAUCAGGCUUCAUGCCAGGAAUAGAAGAACAUCUUGAAUUAACAGAAUUACAAUGCAAAACUGCUCCAGAGUAUAUGUGGUAAUAUACAAUUGCAAUUCACACCUAAUUAUUAUUAUGCUUCGUCAAAAAAGUUGUCUACCUUUAAUCGUUUCUGUUUCUCUUCAUUUUAAUCAAUUCAAAAUUAUUAGUCUCAUUUAUUUUCUUCUCUUAUAUAUACUUGUUAUAUAUACUUGCAUGUAGAUCUAACGCGUGUAUUCCCUUCAAAUCACGCUUUCAUCUUGGAUUUGAAAAGCAACAAACUCAUCAAAGACCCCUUCACCAUUUUCUCUGUUCCUU